rnacentral:rRNA from 1 species
ACGUGAUCUGAGUUCAGACCGGAGUAAUCCAGGUCAGUUUCUAUCUAUAAAGAGCCUUUUCCAGUACGAAAGGACCGAAAAGACAAGGUCCAUAUUUAAAUAAACCUUACUUAUCAAGCUAUGAGUUAAACUUAAUAGCUUAAUUACUUCCAUUAUACUCAAAAAAAGAGUA